rnacentral:rRNA from 1 species
AUUGAACGCUGGCGGCAGGCCUAACACAUGCAAGUCGAACGAGUGGCGGACGGGUGAGUAAUGUCUGGGAAACUGCCCGAUGGAGGGGGAUAACUACUGGAAACGGUAGCUAAUACCGCAUACCAUCGGAUGUGCCCAGAUGGGAUUAGCUAGUAGGUGGGGUAACGGCUCACCGAGGCGACGAUCCCUAGCUGGUCUGAGAGGAUGACAAGCAAAACUGGAACGGAGACACGGUCCAGACUCAGACGGGAGGCAGCAGUGGGGAGUAGUGCACAAUGGGCGCAAGCCUGAUGCAGCCAUGCCGCGUGUAUGAAGAAGGCCUUCGGGUUGGAAAGUACUUUCAGCGGGGAGGCGUUACUAGCAGAAGAAGAACCGGCUAACUCCGUGCCAGCAGCCGCGGUAAUAC